GCCCCACAUGGCACUACCUCCUCGUGGUGUGGGGCGGGCAACUACCCCACAAGGGGUAGGCUAAACGUGCCA
rnacentral:ribozyme from 1 species